UUCUUAUCAAGAAAGACUGAGGGAAAGGGCCCUGUGAUGUCUUAGCAACCAUGUAUAAAGCUUGGUGCUAACUCCCUCCUGGCGCAUCAGCGGCCAGGGAAGAUAAGAU
rnacentral:ncRNA from 2 species